GUGAGAAGGUAAUAGUUCUUCACUGCUCCGUGUUUCUUCAUAUUGUAAAUAUUCUUCCUAAAUGUUCCUAGAUACUUGAAAAGUUAACUCAAUAUUGUUGUGGGUACAAGUGAUGUGUUGUUUUGAGUAAUUUUUAUGCACAAUUUCGGUUAUUUAGACGUAGAGCGUCGACUGUGUAAAUUGUUUGAUAGUACUUACGCAUGGUGUUUGUAUCACACAGGAGCAGAUAUCACUCGGCCAGAAAGUUGAGACCUGUGUGUGUGUGUGUUUCGUGUUUCCAACACAGGUUUCCAAUAAAUACUGAACCGACGGCAUGGUGAAGUGUCUUUUAUUUUAAAAAAUUACACAACGCAGAAGAAGACUCACUACAUAUAUACUUUUCUUAUAUAUUUUGAUGUAUAAUUAUAGUAUAUUAUAUAUACUCAUUAAGAGGGCACAGUGAACACUCAAAACAGAGUCAAAAUGUGAAAUGUUGGUCUUGUAAUUGAACUAAAAUCAACAUUAUUAAUAGAUCUACAUUCAAAGUUGUUCUGUGUGUGUGUGUGUGUGGGGGGGGGGGGGGUGUUUAGUUUUCUUACAGGAUAAUGAAGCAGUAGCAGCAGACUCAAUGUUACAAUCCAACAACCUGAAGAUAGAUCCUCAUCUUCAACAGAUGCCUCUAUCAAAGCUGCCCCCACUGAUCCUGCUGACAGGCCACACCAUUUGACUGACACACUAAGAACUGAAUUACUUAGGAGGUAAACUCAAACUUCACAUUCCCUAAAAGAGAUGAUGGACGACUUUUCCAUCACCACUACUUCCACAGACAUUUAGUGAAUGGAGAACGUGGCCUAAUGUAUUCCCCCAAUGCCAUUUUCACUACAUAUUUAGGUGUUAAGUUUCAGGGAAAUUAUUUAAAUGGUUUAUAUUUUUUCUUAAGAUUGCAUUUUUUGUCUUUACAUGUCAAUAAAGUAAUUGCUAACCGUGUAA